CUGACGAGUGGCGGACGGGUGAGUAAUGUCUGGGAAACUGCCUGAUGGAGGGGGAUAACUACUGGAAACGGUAGCUAAUACCGCAUAACGUCGCAAGACCAAAGAGGGGGACCUUCGGGCCUCUUGCCAUCGGAUGUGCCCAGAUGGGAUUAGCUAGUAGGUGGGGUAACGGCUCACCUAGGCGACGAUCCCUAGCUGGUCUGAGAGGAUGACCAGCCACACUGGAACUGAGACACGGUCCAGACUCCUACGGGAGGCAGCAGUGGGGAAUAUUGCACAAUGGGCGCAAGCCUGAUGCAGCCAUGCCGCGUGUAUGAAGAAGGCCUUCGGGUUGUAAAGUACUUUCAGCGGGGAGGAAGGGAGUAAAGUUAAUACCUUUGCUCAUUGACGUUACCCGCAGAAGAAGCACCGGCUAACUCCGUGCCAGCAGCCGCGGUAAUACGGAGGGUGCAAGCGUUAAUCGGAAUUACUGGGCGUAAAGCGCACGCAGGCGGUUUGUUAAGUCAGAUGUGAAAUCCCCGGGCUCAACCUGGGAACUGCAUCUGAUACUGGCAAGCUUGAGUCUCGUAGAGGGGGGUAGAAUUCCAGGUGUAGCGGUGAAAUGCGUAGAGAUCUGGAGGAAUACCGGUGGCGAAGGCGGCCCCCUGGACGAAGACUGACGCUCAGGUGCGAAAGCGUGGGGAGCAAACAGGAUUAGAUACCCUGGUAGUCCACGCCGUAAACGAUGUCGACUUGGAGGUUGUGCCCUUGAGGCGUGGCUUCCGGAGCUAACGCGUUAAGUCGACCGCCUGGGGAGUACGGCCGCAAGGUUAAAACUCAAAUGAAUUGACGGGGGCCCGCACAAGCGGUGGAGCAUGUGGUUUAAUUCGAUGCAACGCGAAGAACCUUACCUGGUCUUGACAUCCACGGAAGUUUUCAGAGAUGAGAAUGUGCCUUCGGGAACCGUGAGACAGGUGCUGCAUGGCUGUCGUCAGCUCGUGUUGUGAAAUGUUGGGUUAAGUCCCGCAACGAGCGCAACCCUUAUCCUUUGUUGCGCGACCUCGCGAGAGCAAGCGGACCUCAUAAAGUGCGUCGUAGUCCGGAUUGGAGUCUGCAACUCGACUCCAUGAAGUCGGAAUCGCUAGUAAUCGUGGAUCAGAAUGCCACGGUGAAUACGUUCCCGGGCCUUGUACACACCGCCCGUCACACCAUGGGAGUGGGUUGCAAAAGAAGUAGGUAGCUUAACCUUCGGGAGGGCGCUUACCACUUUGUGAUUCAUGACUGGGGUGAAGUCGUAACAAGGUAACCGUAGGGGAACCUGCGGUUG
rnacentral:rRNA from 1 species